rnacentral:rRNA from 1 species
UUUAAAUGUAAAAUAAAAAUACUAAAGUAGUAAUAGUUAAGUUCUUUAAAUUUAAAGAUUUUGGCGGUAUUUUAGUCUAUUCAGAGGAACCUGUUCUGUAAUUGAUAGUCCACGAUUAACUUAACUUAAUUUAAAAAUUUGUAUAUCGUCGUUUUUAAUAAUUUUAUAAGAAUUUAAAUUUUUAAGAUUUUCUAUUAAAAAAUAUAUCAGAUCAAGGUGCAGUUUAUAAUUAAGUAGAAAUGGGUUACAAUAAAUUUAUUUAUACGGAUAAAUAUAUAAGAAUUAUUAUUUUGAAGGAGGAUUUGAUAGUAAUAAAGUUUAUUUAAAUUUUAUGAUUUUAGCUCUAAAAUAUGU